rnacentral:rRNA from 1 species
AGCCCUUGACAUCCCGGUCGCGGACUCCAGAGACGGAGUUCUUCAGUUCGGCUGGACCGGAGACAGGUGCUGCAUGGCUGUCGUCAGCUCGUGUCGUGAGAUGUUGGGUUAAGUCCCGCAACGAGCGCAACCCCCGGUCUUAGUUGCUACCAUUUAGUUGAGCACUCUAAGGAGACUGCCGGUGAUAAGCCGCGAGGAAGGUGGGGAUGACGUCAAGUCCUCAUGGCCCUUACGGGCCGUUACGGGG